GAGUUGGUAGCUCAGUGGAAGAGUGCAAGCUUCCAAUGUAUGAGGUCCUGGGUUCAAUCCCCAUCUUCUCG